CUGUCUCCAUCCCUCCUUUCUCAUCUCCUGAUGUGGGGCGAGUGCCCCCUUGGGGUGAGGGACGAGUACGACUGGGCAGGAAGGGGCUGAGGAAGCUCUGGCCCUGGCCAGAGGAUUCCAGGAUCCAGGAUAGAAGGCAGGGGCCUGGUCAGCCUGCUGGGGGCGGGGCCUGGCAGGGAGCGCCUUACCCGGAAGGGAGGGCAAAGGGCCAUGUCCUCUGCCUGCCCCACCCCACUGACAAGAGUCCCAGUCACCAGGCCAACCUGUCUGGGGCCCUUGAGAGACCCCAGAAGACCAAGCGGCUGGAGCACUGGGGGACACCCAGACAGAGCCCUCGCUGGACCAAGUCCUCCAAGAGCGGGAUGAAGCCAUUGCCAAGAAGCAGGCAGUGGAGGCUGAGCUGGACACAUGCAGAGCCAGGCUGCGAGCUGUGGAGGCCCAGCUGCUGGAGGUCCUGGAGGAGAAACUGAGACUGAGGCAGGAAGUGGAGGCCUGGGAGGAGGACAUGCAGCAUCUGGUGAGACAGCGGGUCGAGAGUCAGCUGCAGAGAGAGUCCAGGGGCACUCUGGGAGUCCCUGUGGCCCCCGGAACAGCUAGGACCCCCCGGGGCCGAUUCCCCCUGGGUCAGUGGGGACGUUGGCGGUGAGCGAGCUCAGCCCAGGACCUUGGGAGCAGUGUCUUUAUUCAUUAAAGCUUGAGGUCUGACCACCUCUGUACCCUCA